CAUGUCUUUUUGAUUAUAAUUAAAAGUCUGACCUGCCCUAUGAUAUUUAUUAAAUGGCCGCGAUAAUUUGAUCGUGCAAAGGUAGCAUAAUCAUUAGUUUUUUAAUUGAGAACUGGAAUGAAAGGUCGAACGAGAAAAAGACUGUCUCAAUUUAAUUUAUAUUAGAAUUUUAUUUUUAAGUUAAAAAGCUUAAAUAAUUUUAAAAGACGAGAAGACCCUAUAGAGUUUAAUAUUUUUUAUAUAUAUAAAAAAAAAUUAAGAAUUAAAAUUUUUUAUUUAUUAAAAAGUAUUUGGUUGGGGCGAUUAAAAAAUUUAAUAAACUUUUUUUAUAUGAAUUUACAUUGAUAUAUGAAUAAGUGAUCCAUUUAUUAUGAUUAAAAGAUUAAAUUACCUUAGGGAUAACAGCGUUAUUUUUUUUGAGAGUUCUAAUCGAAAAAAAAGUUUGCGACC
rnacentral:rRNA from 1 species